AUGAAGGCAGUGAAUGAUUCUGAAUGUGGCCACCGUGAUUUGUUCCUCAGGAUGAAGGGUGUUAUGAUCUUUCUGGUGUUGACGCUGGUCGUCCUCAUGGCUGAACCUGGGGAGAGUCGUUCUCCACGUCGAGGAAUCCCAUGCAGAUUGACACCUAGAGCAUUUGGAUGUGGACAGGAAAGAUCCCAAGAUAAAGUCGACAACGAUAACCUGAGGCGAUACUAUGAAGACUGA
rnacentral:lncRNA from 1 species